rnacentral:rRNA from 1 species
GACGAACGCUGGCGGCGUGCUUAACACAUGCAAGUCGAACGGAAAGGCCCUGCUUUUGUGGGGUGCUCGAGUGGCGAACGGGUGAGUAACACGUGAGUAACCUGCCCUUGACUUUGGGAUAACUUCAGGAAACAGGGGCUAAUACCGGAUAGGAUCUCCUGCUGCAUGGUGGGGGUUGGAAAGUUUCGGCGGUUGGGGGUGGACUCGCGGCUUAUGAGCUUGUUUGUGGGGUAGUGGCUUACCAAGGCUUUGACGGGUAGCCGGCCUGGGAGGGGGACCGGCCACAUUGCGACUGAGAGACGGCGCAGACGCGUACGGGAGGCAGCAGUGGGGAGUAUUGCACAGUGGGCCGAAGCCUGAUGUAGCAACGCCGCGUGCGGGAUGACGGCCUUCGGGUUGUAAACCGCUUUCGCCUGUGACGAGGAGUGCGUGACGGUAAUGGGUAAAGAAGCACCGGCUAACUACGUG